rnacentral:rRNA from 1 species
AUGAACGCUGGCGGCGUGCCUAAUCCAUGCAAGUCGAGCGAACAGACGAGGAGCUUGCUCCUCUGACGUUAGCGGCGGACGGGUGAGUAACACGUGGAUAACCUACCUAUAAGACUGGGAUAACUUCGGGAAACCGGAGCUAAUACCGGAUAAUAUAUUGAACCGCAAGGUUCAAUAGUGAAAGACGGUUUUGCUGUCACUUAUAGAUGGAUCCGCGCCGCAUUAGCUAGUUGGUAAGGUAACGGCUUACCAAGGCAACGAUGCGUAGCCGACCUGAGAGGGUGAUCGGCCACACUGGAACUGAGACACGGUCCAGACUCCUACGGGAGGCAGCAGUAGGGAAUCUUCCGCAAUGGGCGAAAGCCUGACGGAGCAACGCCGCGUGAGUGAUGAAGGUCUUCGGAUCGUAAAACUCUGUUAUUAGGGAAGAACAAAUGUGUAAGUAACUAUGCACGUCUUGACGGUACCUAAUCAGAAAGCCACGGCUAACUACGUG